AAACAGCAUGGUUAACUAUAAACACACGUCACCAUGGAAACCACAACAACUCUCAGCAUGUAGUAGCGGCAAGGCAAAAAGGACAAACACUCAAGAAAUGUUCACUGCAGCUGCUGCUGCAAAAAAAAAACAUCUCAAAGGAGCAGAAGAAUCUGGCAUUUUGGUAAUGUCAGUGGAUCACUGCCUUUAUCCCUGAUGCCUCCUGACCCAAAACCUGCCUUUCGCUGAUCCUGCACUCAUCUGUUUUUUCCAUCAUCUUUUAGUGCACCCUGACCUGCUUCAGAUAUAAUCAUCAGGUAUCCAUCAACUUCCUCAUUAUUAGCCGAAGCCACUUUAAUCUUCCCUUGC